CCUUAUGCAUGCUGAACUCUGAGAGCCACCAGUGAAGAAGAUAAGUGACCCAUCUACCUGUAGCUGGAAAAUAAAGGCUCUUUGGGAUUCUUUCCCAUGAGUCUUCAUUUCACCAUAUUGGUGAGAGAAGGCAUUCAGGCCCAAUAAUUAACUGAACAUUAGCUGUGUACCAGACACUGUGGUCGACAUUGAGAUAUAACGGAUUUAAGAAAGUCUUUGUGGCUGUGGUGGCUUCAAAUCACUCCCGAGGCUUUAGAAGAAUAUAAUUGCCGUUCUAAGAAGAAUCUGAGGCCUCUAGGAGAUCUGCCAGUAGUGGCCCCAAUGUAUAACAGCACUAGCUCAGUGAAGAGAGAGAGAAAAGAUCUGAAGAGAGUGGUUGCAGUUUGAGCUCUGUCAAUGGGACAGUCCUGGGCAGGAGACUGGGGAGAAGAGGCGGCUUGCUGGUUUUCCUGAACCACUUCCACCCUGAAAGACUCCUUGCAUACAAUCAUCAGAGAAGAACCGUGGGAACCAAGAACCAUGAGCAGGAGAACCAUGAGCAGUAAGCACCUACAGGGACUGUGGAAAUGGGAGAGACACUUGGACAGAAAAGCAGCUGAAGAUGGGAUGAGAAAGCAGACAAAGGAGGGAAGUGCUUCUGAACAGAGUGCCAGUCUAUGGUGCCCAGAGCUAAAUCCUCAACUUUCAAAUCUGUGAAGACUGGAGAUUCUUAAUAUUUGAUGAUCUGGUUUAUCUGCACAUAUAACUAGCAUUAUGUUACCCUCACAUUAAGUUAUAUUCUUAGUUUCAGUUUUCCAAGAAAUGCUGCUUGAAACUACAAACAUCGUUUAAGUAUUUUUGAGCUAAAUGUAUUCUCUUUUUAAUACUCUUGCUUUAGUUUCUCUUUUUGUUUAAUUUUUUAUGGCUGGAAGAGUAUAAUUAAUUCAACAUGGUUGCUUAGAGAGACAUUUUCCAGGCCCCACUAGGCAUACUGUAGUCAUUUAUUCAAAAUUAGGCCUAGGGAAUAAGAAUCUCAAGUAAAUAAUUUAUUAUAUUUGAUGUAAAUUCAUCUAGAUUUUCUGACUUUUCUGAAAAAUAUAUGCUAAUGCCCUUAAACUGUAUGAAAUAUUUGUAGUAUACUUCUGGAAUAUCUUUAUCACCCCACAACUUUGUUUAGACAAAUACCAAUUGGAACUCAGAAAUUCAGUGUAUUACUCUGAAAGUGUGCUCAUUGGGCAAGAUUUUUUAAGCCUUUUGGACUUUAACUGGAGCAUAGUGAACUGCACUUUCUAAGAUGUGAGAAAAAUAUAUUUUUCAUAUUAUUGGUAUCAGAAACUUGUCUUCUGGGAAGCCCUUCACCCCCAAAUGGGCCCUAACUCACUUCAACCACUUAUGGUUUAUCUGAAAUUCUAAAAUGUAUGUUUUGCUGAAUUCUGAUAUAGCAAGAGCUCUUUAUUUUUCUUAAAUAACUACUUUGAAAGAAUGAUUUUGCAAUCCUAUAACUAGUACUUAUUACUUCAGAUCAUUCUAACAUGACUCAUAGAUUAAGUCCUUGCCACUCACUCAACUUUUGGCAAGCAUGAACAUCACCUCCCCAAAAUCUACAGAAAUGUUUAUACAUGCUAUGUUAACUGUGGGCUCUUCUGAGGAUUGACUGGAAAUUCAAUAAUAUAUGCGUUUUUUUUUAGCUUGGAUUCCUAUAAAUUAAAGCAAAAAUAGAAAUUGUAUUUAUAGAAUAAAUGAGAGUUUACUGUAAGAAAUAUGACAACAAAAAAAUAUUUUUGUCAUGUUUCUCAGUUUAACAAAAUACUGUUAACAAAU
rnacentral:lncRNA from 1 species